AUGUGUCGGACGAAAAAGUUAAUAAUGCAUCAGUACAGCUUACAUCAUCAGUGGAUUUACAGUUCAAACUUCUGUGAGGGGCUGUGCUGCUGUCUGCCCAUGUCCCGAAGUGCAUUUGCUAGGAGAUAUUUAUCCUUUCUAUUUUACUUGAUCCAGUAUGCAUCCAUCCUGAUAGAUGAUAGAUCUGCCAUAUGCAUGAAGUGGAUGCACCGGGACCUCAAACCAGAGAAUUUCUUGUUUGCAAACUGGAAAGAAACGGCUGCACUGAAAGCAAUUGAUUUUGGCCUGUUUGUUUUGUUUUUCACUCCAAGUAGAGUCAAUCCUAAUAUCCUAUAUGGCUAUCGUUGA
rnacentral:rRNA from 1 species